UCACAUAGCAUGUUGAAAAUAAAGAAUGGCAUUGCCCCAUUCGUAAGGAAAUGGAAGGACUUAGAAAAAAUCAUACUAAGUGAAGUGAGCCAGACCCAAAGAAACAUGGACACUAUGAUCUCCCUCACAGGGAGUAAUUAGUACUUGCUUAAGUUAGCCAUAGCAGAAGAUCACAAUAGCUAUGCCCUUAUGAACACAUAAAAUGUUGCUAAGUGAAAUGAACUCCACCUU